rnacentral:rRNA from 1 species
AGGGGGGUUUGAUCAUGGGGCUCAGAAUGAACGCUGGCGGCGUGCCUAACACACGCAAGUCGAACGAGAAAGUGGACUUCGGUCCGCAAGUAAAGUGGCAUACGGGUGAGUAACACGUGGGUAACCUGCCCGGAGGUGGGGGAUAACUCUUCGAAAGGAGAGCUAAUACCGCAUAACAUCCUGAGCACUUCGGUGCAUGGGAUCAAAGUUUGCCUCUGUUUCAUGCAAACGCCACCGGAGGGACCCGCGCCCCAUUAGCUUGAUGGUGAGGUAACGGCUCACCGUGGCUACGAUGGGUAGCCGGCCUGAGAGGGUGAUCGGCCACACUGGAACUGAGACACGGUCCAGACUCCUACGGGAGGCAGCAGUGAGGAAUUUUGCGCAAUGGGCGAAAGCCUGACGCAGCGACGCCGCGUGGAGGAAGAAGGCCUUCGGGUCGUAAACUCCUGUCAAGAGGGACGAAUCCCUACCGAAUGAAUAAGUCAGUAGGUUGACGGUACCUCUGAAGGAAGCCCCGGCUAACUCCGUGCCAGCAGCCGCGGUAAUACGGAGGGGGCAAGCGUUGUUCGGAAUUAUUGGGCGUAAAGGGCACGUAGGCGGUCAAGCAAGUUGGUGGUGAAAGCCCUCGGCUCAACCGAGGAAUUGCCCCCAAAACUGCUCGACUUGAGUCCCGGAGAGGGUGGCGGAAUUCCCAGUGUAGCGGUGAAAUGCGUAGAUAUUGGGAGGAACACCAGUGGCGAAGGCGGUCACCUGGACGGGUACUGACGCUUGAG